rnacentral:snRNA from 1 species
AACACUUUUAUAUAUAUAUAAAAAAAUAUUUUCAUAUCAGUUUAAUAUCUGAUAUGUCCUCCAGUGGAGGACAACAUAUUAAGCCGAUUUUUGAACAAGGGAUGUGAAGGUGGAGCUUCCUUUAUUCACUCCAUGCAUUGACCCAGUAUUGCAGUGUUUCUGGGAACAGUGCCCACACC